CUCGUAGGCGGUUCGAUAAGUCGGACGUGAAAUCUCCACGCUCAACGUGGAGGGGCCGUUCGAUACUGUCGUGACUCGAGUCCGGUAGGGGAGUGUGGAAUUCCCGGUGUAGCGGUGAAAUGCGCAGAGAUCGGGAGGAACACCCGUAGCGAAGGCGGCACUCUGGGCCGGUACUGACGCUGAGGAGCGAAAGCGUGGGGAGCAAACA
rnacentral:rRNA from 1 species